rnacentral:rRNA from 1 species
UGGGGAAUAUUGCACAAUGGGCGCAAGCCUGAUGCAGCCAUGCCGCGUGUAUGAAGAAGGCCUUCGGGUUGUAAAGUACUUUCAGCGGGGAGGAAGGCGAUAAGGUUAAUAACCUUGUCGAUUGACGUUACCCGCAGAAGAAGCACCGGCUAACUCCGUGCCAGCAGCCGCGGUAAUACGGAGGGUGCAAGCGUUAAUCGGAAUUACUGGGCGUAAAGCGCACGCAGGCGGUCUGUCAAGUCGGAUGUGAAAUCCCCGGGCUCAACCUGGGAACUGCAUUCGAAACUGGCAGGCUAGAGUCUUGUAGAGGGGGGUAGAAUUCCAGGUGUAGCGGUGAAAUGCGUAGAGA